rnacentral:rRNA from 1 species
AGAAUCAACGCUGGCGGCGUGCCUAACACAUGCAAGUCGAACGCGAAAGUCCCGCAAGGGAUAAGUAGAGUGGCAAACGGGUGAGUAACACGUGGGUGACCUGCCUUCGAGUGGGGGAUAACGUCCCGAAAGGGACGCUAAUACCGCAUGACAUCCUGUCUUUGGAAAGACGGAGAUCAAAGCUGGGGAUCGCAAGACCUGGCGCUUGAAGAGGGGCCCGCGCCUGAUUAGCUAGUUGGUGGGGUAACGGCCUACCAAGGCGACGAUCAGUA